AAAGGAAUAGCUGGGUCAAAUGGUGGUUCCAUUCCCAGAUUUCCAAGGAAUCUCCAUACUGCUUUCCAAAUUGGCUGCACCAAUUUGCAGUCCCACCAGCAAU
rnacentral:pre_miRNA from 1 species